rnacentral:rRNA from 1 species
UACGUAGGGACCGAGCGUUAUCCGGAUUCAUUGGGCGUAAAGAGCUCGUAGGCGGCUUGUCGCGUCGACUGUGAAAACCCGCGGCUCAACUGCGGGCUUGCAGUCGAUACGGGCAGGCUAGAGUUCGGUAGGGGAGACUGGAAUUCCUGGUGUAGCGGUGAAAUGCGCAGAUAUCAGGAGGAACACCAAUGGCGAAGGCAGCUCUCUGGGACGGUACUGACGCUGAGACGCGAAAGCGUGGGGAGCGAACAGG